AACAGCGGAGAGUUUGAUCCUGGCUCAGGAUGAACGCUAGCGACAGGCUUAACACAUGCAAGUCGAGGGGCAGCGGUGGUGAAGGCUUGCCUUCACCAGCCGGCGACCGGCGCACGGGUGAGUAACACGUAUGCAACCUGCCUGCCACAGCCGGAUAAUCGGGAGAAAUCCCGUCUAAUACGGCAUAAUGCAUCGACGGGACAUCCUGUUGGUGCCAAAGG
rnacentral:rRNA from 1 species